GGAGAGUACAGACGGAGGUCGUCGAUAGCGUAUUUAGCACAGAAGCCGGCUGCUGGUUGGUGAUAAGAAGUGGUUAAUGCUGCACAUAACCAAGUUACUACCGUAUUUUACCGUAGCCAUUAAAAUUAAGUACGGUACACACAAGUCGAAGGUAUAAGCUUGCGAAAAUUGCUCGGCAGACACUGCUUGUGCCCUGCUGCAGCUGCUUGGAAUGUUGUCCCAACGCACCACAUUCCUGUGGGUUGCCUUGGAAUAACCAGAGAGCUCUGUUAGCACAGCAGAAGAAUCUCCAGGAGGAAGCUACAAACUGAUCACAACACAUGAAGUAAAUAAAACUAUGCCAACUAGGCAAGACAGGACGGGCACCAGGGAUGCAGAUGACUUUGUCCAGCUGAAAUGCUACCUUGCUUUACAAGAAACCAACUUUAUUAGUGUUAGUAUAUAUUUGAGAAGUAGCAGUCUGGCUCCAGAACAAAUGGAUGCUGUCUGGCCUUCUGAAGAUUAGUCUGAGGUUGCUGUCGAACCUUAGGUGGCUACCUAGUGGACUGCUGAGUUUGUCACCAUAUCCACUGCUUUGCUGACUGUUACCACCGAACUGGUCAUCCUUGACACUAAGUGUGAAUAUUACCAGACUAUCAGCGUAAUAAGUCAUGUUUGAAGAAUACUAACAGGAAUUCCUUACAGAAGUAUAGAAAACUGGUAGAAGCUGAACUUGGAGAAGAUCAGUUUGGAUUUCGAAGGAAUGUUAAACACGUGAGGCAACACUGACCCCAAGACUUGUCUUAAAAGGAACCAUUGAAAAAUGGCAGGAGCUGAAGAACUUCCAAACAUCAGUUAUUGAAACUAGAACAAACCCUGUUGAGUGUUGAUCACAGAAUAUUGUCUGGACUGCUCAUCCAGCAGCAACUCUGCUGAUGAUGUGGGAAAAUUGUCUGAACAUGCUGCUGAAAUUCCGGAGAAUUCAAGAAUGGCUCAACCAAGUGUAAAAAUCAAUGACUUGGUGAUUAUUUGUGUGCCAACAACACACAAUGUGCACGAGUACUUUGUGCGUGAAAUUCAAGAGAUAAAUGGCUAAGAAUUUCUUGUUAGGUUUCUGAGAAAACAGAAAAAUAAGUUUGUGUGGUCAGAAAUGUUGGAUUAAAGUUUAAUAUUAUGUAAGCAAAUAGCUUUAUUACGUAGUAAACCAGAUGUUUUGAAGUGGGGUUUAUGUUACUCAAAAAAAGGACUUGAAGACUUUUCUCUUAAUUGAAUUGUUUAGGGAGGUUACUGCCAGGUCAUAUUGCAAUAAGUUCAAAUUUAGAUCAACACGUAUGUAUAAUAUGUUUACCAUAAAUGAUAACUGUGCUAUAGCUUCAUUGUGGAUGAUUAAAAAAGUUUUUAGAAUACAAAUUUGUGUUUACAUAUUAUGAUGAUGAUGAUGAUGAUGAUGAUGAUGAUGAUGAUGAUGGUCUAUUUACACUUUUCAUUAAUCCUGUGGAAACAGUCAAAGCUACCCCAACCGUGGAUUAAUUUUGAUAGGUGAGAAAAAAAUUAUUUCCCUUGAUGUGUAUGCUUUUAAAUAAAGUUGGGUAUAUCGUUCAGUAGCUAGAUGGUUUGCCCAUAAAAUACCACAUUCAGUUUGAGGAAAAUAUUUACAUAUGUUUUGAUGUCGCAUUUAAAUUAAAAAUAUUGCACAAAGUUUCCCCAUUUGACGGUAGUGAUACUGGAGUCAUCAGCACCAUAUAUAU